rnacentral:rRNA from 1 species
CCUACGGGUGGCAGCAGUGGGGAAUAUUGCGCAAUGGGCGCAACCCUGAUCCAGCAACGCCGCGUGAGUGAAGAAGCCUUUCGGCUCGUAAACCUCUUUUCUCAGGGAAGAAACAAGUGACGGUACAUGCGCAAUCGGCCCCCGCCAACUACGUGCCAGCAGCCUCGGUAAUACGUAGGGGGCAAGCGUUAUUCGGAUUUACUGGGUGUAAAGGGCGUGUAGGCGGGGGAGCAAGUCAGAUGUGAAAACUCAGGGCUCAACCCUGGGCCUGCAUUUGAAACUGUUUUUCUUGAGUGCUGGAGAGGCAAGCGGAAUUCCGUGUGUAGCGGUGAAAUGCGUAGAUAUACGGAGGAACACCAGUGGCGAAGGCGGAUUGCUGGACAGUAACUGACGCUGAGGCGCGAAAGCGUGGGGAGCAAACAGGAUUAGAUACCCGAGUAGUC